UUUAAGGUAUCAGCUUUGAAAAAUGUUCAGUAGGGGAAAGAAGCCCUUCCCCUAAAAAACCUCAAGAUACAGCAGGUAGGUUGUCCAUGUGAUGACACAAAGAUAGAUGAUUACUGUUUAUAAUUAAUGUUUACUGUUAAUUGUAAGACAAGACCCCAUAAAGAGUUUGUGAUCAGUCCUUUAAAUUGUAAAUAGUUUAUUUUAGUUCUAUUAAUUUAACUAACUUAAUUUAACUUAAUAUUUUAGUUUCAUUAAUAAUCCUUUUUUAAAAUCUACUGACACUUAAUCUGCCACAUUGACUUUUUGGAUUCAUAUUGAUUAAAUUUUACUGUCCUCUACAAUGGCCAACAUGUAAAUAAAAUAUGCUACUAGGCGUUAAGCCCACAAUUCUGAGUGGCUUUGUGCCUUUAGAGGGAGGCAGCAAUGGAAGAUCUGCAGCUGGGGUCCUAUAUACGGGUGUCGCACCUUAAAGCAAAGAGUCUAUGAACUCCGGCUGCAGUCAACAACAUACAAAGUUUGAGCUUUAAAAAAAGGUCCCAAACAUUACCAGCCAGGAGCUCAGAAGGGUCACUGAAACAAAUGUUCUUUCAAUGUUCUCUGGAGCAAGAAGCAAAAGAUAAGGUGGCUCAUUAUAUGGCCCACACAACAGCUGUGGCAAAGUCACAUUAGAUGAAAACAGCAGAAGAAACUGGCCACUGCAAACAUUAUGGCCAGUUUAACUGAUUGCAGCUCAGAUGAGACAAGAACUGGAGCAAAAAAGGAGGAGCCAGCAAUUCCAGCCUUGCAAGAUGGCAGAAAAGUUUGCGGUGACCAUGAAUGGGAAGUUACCCUCAAAGAUAAAUGCUGGGUGCCCUGCAAUGGACUGGCAACCUGUUCAGGGUGUACCCCGCGUCUCACCCUCAGCUAGCUGGAAUAGGCUUCAGCCCCUCCAGUGACUCCAAUUGGGACCAAGUGGGAGAAAAUGGAUGGAUAAAUGCUCGGUUCCAAGUGGAGAGAAGCGUCUAUGAUAAGUGGAGGGCUGCCCAGUUUCAAAAAUAAAGAGCAUCUACUGUCAAAAUGUUACAGGCGGCAGCCCACAGUGGCCAAAGUAACUAAAAUCAUUGAAGCAAAGGGCUGGAGUGCAAAUUACCCUUCCCCAGCACACAUGAAAUGGAGACCAUCCAAAAAAAAUAAAUAAAAAAAUAAAAGGUUAAGGUUGGUGAUGCCA
rnacentral:lncRNA from 1 species